CGCUGGCUAGCGUAGUAGAACAUUUGAAAACAAAAGAGAGCCGCACACUCUAGGAGCUCAGAUGCAAUCAUUUAAUUACCAACGUUUCGACAGCCAAGCUGUCUUCAUCAGGGUAUAAUCACAAACACUGCGGGAUGACUUGUUUAUAUAGUGUCAAAAGACACAGGUGUCUGUAAUCAUGGCCAAGAGUGGCCUAAUAUCAUUGGUUAAUAAUCAAAUAUUAAAAUGUCAUACAAAGAACAGCAUACAAACAAAUGGACAACAUACAAUCAUAGAUUAAUUUGACUACACAAGCUUACAAACAAUUACAAUGGCAAAGUCACAAUAAUCACAAAAAUGGCUUCAGAUCAAAGUCUACGUUGAGACCGAAGGGCACAAGGGUCUUUAAAUUAAACUUUCCAGAAAUAACACUGGACCUCAUCCAUAUUCCCGAACCUGGAUGUGGGAGCCAUGGAUCGUUAUGAUCAUAUGACAGAAGAACAAGCAGAGGUAGGUGUUUGUUUUAUUUCUCAUUUAAAUAUGUUUAUUAUUAUUCUGCAAUAGGCCUACAACACAUAUCAUUGCCACAACAGAUUCAUUGUAUUUUCUCAACAGGUUUCUCAACCGAAGACACGGAGGAGAUGCGCAUGUUUCAGAUCCUUAUUCAUCAUGACACCCCAAUGUAAGAGCCAGUGCCACCCCGGGCAAGGAAGCUUGCUGGUGUGGAGGAGAUGGUGACUGUCCAGAGGACGCUCCUGGGGGAGGUCAUGUCCCUGCGCAGGGUGCAGGAGGUGCUACUGAAGGUGGAAGGUGAGAGAUUAGCCCUGGAGAAGCGAAGAAGACUUGAAGAUUAUUAUUCUAAAAUAAAUCUGUUUCGAUAUCAUACUAACCUUUUUUGUCAUGUGAAUCUCCUCUUAAUUACAAAAUGUAUUGCUUCAGCAUUGCAUCUACCAACAGCAUUGUGGUGAGCGACAACAUCCUGGUCAGGUACAGCUAACUCUGGGGGAGUUAAUUUUAUACAGCCCAGAAAAAACAUGCAAGAUCAUAACCUCAGCAUGUAUCUUGCAUAACAACUGCAUACAAUACAGGAUGCCAUAUCCCAAUAUACCUGACAUUCCGUGGUCAAUGUAGAUUUAAGGACUCCGAUAGAUCCCUCUACUAAACUCCUCUUUUCAUCUGAGCAUGGUUGUAAGUUCUCUUCUGCAUCGUUGUUAGUGUUUAGGAUUGGUGUCAUGAGCCAUGUUUUUUUUGUCCAUAGCCACUAUCACCUUAAACCCCAAACAUACCAAAGUAGUAAAUUGAUAUCAUAAUAAGCAACACUAUUUUAAGUGUUUCUGUGGACCACAAAACAAUUAAACAGGUAUCAGGUAAAGAGAAUAAAGCAUUUCAUAAAGGAUGUCUCAGCCUCCAGUACUGCUGCAGUAGUUUAUGUGUCGGGGGGCUAGGGUCUGUUAUAUCUGGAGUAUUUCUCCUGUCUUGUCCUGUGUGAAUUUAAGUAUGCUCUCUUUAAUUCUCUCUUUCUUUCUUUCUCUCUUGGAGGACCUGAGCCCUAGGACCAUGCCUCAGGACUACCUGGCAUGAUGACUCUUUGUUGUCCCCAGUCCACCUAGCCGUGCUGCUACUCCAGUUUCAACUGUUCUGCCUGCGGCUAUGGAACCCUGACCUGUGAUUACUGUGAUUACUAUUAUUGGACCAUGCGGGUCAUUUAUGAACAUUUGAACAUCUUGGCCAUGUUCUGUUAUAAUCUCCACCCGGUACAGCCAGAAGAGAACUGGCCACCACUCAUAGCCUGGUUCCGCUCUAGGUUUCUUCCUAGGUUUUGGCCUUUCUAGGGAGAUGUUCCUAGCCACCGUGCUGUUUGGGGUUUUAGGCUGGGUUUCUGUACAGCAUUUUGAUAUAUCAGCUGAUGUAAGAAGGGCUAUAUAAAUAAAUUGGAUUUCUUUACCUAAUAGCUAUUAUCAGGAAUGUGACCUUCCUCAAACUUGAUUCCCAGGGCCUAAUUUGAUACAAUGAAGGAGUCAUGUAUGCUCCCAGGCCAUUUGGCAACAACAUUUGUAGAGGCUAGUAAUGACAUUGCAGACUACUUGUGCAUUAAUAGAGUAGACUACUUGUGCAUUAAUAGAGUGGCAUUUCUGAAUGCAAAUCUCUCAUAAAAGCAAAAUAUGGUCAGCAUUGCUGUGUGCUGCUGGUUAUAACAUGGCAAUAAAGAAGAGAGAGAAAAGAGGGACCAGUUUAAUGUUUUAACUGGGAUGCUGCAGUUUGCACAUUGUUAUUUGUUUUUCUUUGAUAUGGAGCAAUAUACUAUUAUUAUGUUGUUCAGAUUGUAUUUGUUUAGAAUUGUUACAUUUAUAUGCACUUUGCUUAUAUAAGGGCAUCCUUAUGUAAGGGCAUCCUUUUUUACAUUUAUUUCAAUUAGUGGGAUGCUGCAGUUAAGCAAAUUGUUAUUUAUUUUUCUUUGAUAUGGUGCAAUAUUCUAUUAUGCUGUUCAGAUUGUAUUCGUUUUGAAUGGUUAGAUUUAAAUGCUUAUGUACAUUAAAAAUUAUACUUUAAAUGCAAAUGUUUAAUAGCAUUCUUUUUCAUAACAGCCCAAUGCAUUUUUAAAUACAUUGUGGUUAAGGUAGAGUAUGAUUUAAUUUUAUAAUUUAAUUUAGAAUUGUUUUAACACCAAUCAUACAUAGUCAAACUAUCCAACUGUUUUACUUGAAAAAAUACAAAACAUUUUUUUUUUGAAGAGCCGUUUGGAAGCCAAAAGAGCCGGUUCUUUUUGGUGAGCUGAGCCGAACGAGCCGGCUCACUGAAAAGAGCCGGAAUUCCCAUCACUACGAGGCCUCAGCAACAACAGAAAACCGGAUAGCCCUCUGCGCACCACCCACGGUCCAUCUUGAUUGGCCCAAACGAUCACACACCCUUCACGUGACAGAAACUGUCACAACAUUUUUAAUGUAAACAGUACAUACUAAUUUAACCAACAUAGGCACAACAACAAAAGCUGUAGUAAAACCUAGAGUUUAUGAAAAUAAAACAAAUCUGAUUAAAUUAAUACAAGGUAUACAACACAUACAUCCACAUAUUAUUAUUACCACUAAACAAACCGUAGUUCUAAAUACAUGUUUUAAUAUGGUAUUGCAUAUGCGUACUUCCUUUUAUUCUCCUCAUAAGCCGUGAUUACACGUUGCAUUAACAUGUGCUUGUCGUCAUGUGAUCAAGAUGAUUCGAUAUAUGAUCGAGACUUGUCGCAUCUACACAUGGUAAUAAAAUGUGUCUCUAGCUGGCCACUGCAUCUAUAUUGUGACCAGAUUCCCUGUGCCCUCCAUUUAUAUAAAUGAAUCCAACCUGCCUUGAACCUACCCUUAUCAAAUGAAAUCAUAUUUUAUUUGUCACAUGCGCCAAAUACAACAGGUACACCUUACAGUGAAAUGCUUACUUACCUUAACCAACAAUGCAGUUUUAAGAAAAUACAUUUUUUUUAAAGUAAGAGAUACAAAUAUUAAAUAAUGAAAGAGCAGCAGUAAAAUAACAAUAGCGGUGAAAUAUACAAGUGGUACCGGUGUUGGGGUAAAUGAGGUAAUAUGUCCAUGUAGGUAGAGUUAUUAAAGAGACACGCUGUAUAAAUCGACAGAAAACAGCACAUUUUUAUAGGCAAUAGUUUAUACUCUCAUCAUUAGAGCCUACCUUUGUUAUCCAGCUAUUUAAGACAGGGCGUAAUAAGCUCCUGUCCCGAUAACCGCAACCUGUCCACCACCGUUCAAAUACAUGUUCAGGGAAUCUCUCCCGUCCCCUAAAUAGUAAUCACACAAAUGAGCGGAGUGUCUGGAUGUGUGCACAUAAUAUAAUUGAUGCAUGGUAUAAAUAAAAAUGACACUUUGGGCCCUUUUGCAAACAGUAGAAAUAGAAACCGGUUAAAAUAAAGAGUAGGCUAAGCACAGCUCCGAAUGGCGCAACGCAUUAAUUCAAACAGGUCUGUACGGGUUGAUCUUUACGGAUGGAUGUUUACAUACGAUGUCUUCAUAAUUAUGUACAUGAUUGAAAAGGAAAAUAUUUUAAACUCUCUAAAGAAACUGACAUAUAUAGUCCUACAAUGGACCACGCAUGUAAAGCAAAUACUAUGGAGGGAUAAAGUGUACAUCUAAAAGUAGCCUAGUCCUUCCUGUUGUAGGCUACAUUAUAUUGGAGAGCGUGAUACAUAAAGAGAAAGUUGUGCGCCUUUACGCAUCAGUUUGGACACCUUCUGCACUUUACUGCUAUAUAUAGAUUUGUCUGGAAAAUGCUCAAAGAUUCACAGAAUAUCCUAUAAUAAACAGGACUGCAUUAUAUACCAGAGAUUGUUAUUUUGUAUAGGGUUAAACAGUAGCCCACCAAAGGGGGGGGAAUGUGACAUGCUGUAUCACCGUCUGGUACAGCAACUGCCCCGCCCUCAACCGCAAGGCUCUCCAGAGGGUGGUGUGGUCUGCCCAUCACAUUUACCAUGGGCGGGUACUCCAGGACACCUACACCACCUGAUGUCACAGUAAGGCCAAAAAGAAUCAUCAAGGACAACAACCACCCGAGCCACUGCCUGUUCACACCGCUAUCACCCAGAAGGCGAGGUCAGUACAGGUGCAUCAAAGCAGGGACAGAGAGACUGAAAAACAGCUUCCAUCUCAAGGCCAUCAGACUGUUAAACAGCCAUCACUAGCACAUUAGAGGCUGCUGCCUAUAGGCAUAGACUAGAAUUCACUGGCCACUUUAAGGAAUGGAACACCAGUAAUGUUUACAUAUCUGGCAUUACUCAUCUCAUAUGUAUAUACUGUAUUCUAUACUAUUCUACGGUAUCUUAGUCACUUAAUAAUGUUUACUUAUCUUGCAUUACUCAUCUCAUAUGUGUAUACUGUAUUCUAUACUAUUCUACGCUAUCUCAUUCACUUAAUAAU
ensembl:lncRNA